AGUGACAGACUCGCAGGACCAGCCACUGGGACUGAUUCUCAUAUGACUCCUGGCAUUCCUCAGAUGCCUACGGAUGAUGGAUCUACAGGACCAGCCGCUUGGGCCGAUACUCUUAUGACUCUUGGCAU